AGAACGAACGCUGGCGGCAUGCCUAACACAUGCAAGUCGAACGAGACCUUCGGGUCUAGUGGCGCACGGGUGCGUAACGCGUGGGAACCUGCCCUUAGGUUCGGAAUAACUCCCCGAAAGGGGUGCUAAUACCGGAUAAUGUCUUCGGACCAAAGAUUUAUUGCCUAUGGAUGGGCCCGCGUUGGAUUAGCUAGUUGGUGGGUAAA
rnacentral:rRNA from 1 species